GACGAACGCUGGCGGCGUGCCUAACACAUGCAAGUCGAACGGAGAAUUAGCAAUAAUUCUUAGUGGCGAACGGGUGAGUAACGCGUAGACAACCUGCCCUUUAGAUGGGGACAACAGAUCGAAAGGUCUGCUAAUACCGAAUAUUGUUUGAGAAACGCAUGUUUCACAAACUAAAGAUGGCCUCUAUUUAUAAGCUAUCGCUAAAGAAUGGGUCUGCGGCUGAUUAGCUAGUUGGUGAGAUAAAAGCUCACCAAGGCAACGAUCAGUAGACGGGCUGAGAGGAUGGGCGGCCACCCUGGGACUGAGAGACGGCCCAGACUCCUACGGGAGGCAGCAGUGGGGAGUCUUCCGCAAUGGACGAAAGUCUGACGGAGCAACGCAGCGUGAGUGAUGAAGGUGUUCGGAUCGUAAAACUCUGUUGUUAAGGACGAAUGUAUAGAUUGUGAAUAAUGGUUUAUAAUGACGGUACUUAACGAGGAAGCCACGGCUAGCUACGUGCCAGCCGCCGCCGUAA
rnacentral:rRNA from 1 species